UACGAAGGGGGCUAGCGUUGCUCGGAAUCACUGGGCGUAAAGCGCACGUAGGCGGCUUUUUAAGUCAGGGGUGAAAUCCUGGAGCUCAACUCCAGAACUGCCUUUGAUACUGGAAAGCUCGAGUCCGGAAGAGGUGAGUGGAACUGCGAGUGUAGAGGUGAAAUUCGUAGAUAUUCGCAAGAACACCAGUGGCGAAGGCGGCUCACUGGCCCGGUACUGACGCUGAGGUGCGAAAGCGUGGGGAGCAAACAGG
rnacentral:rRNA from 1 species